rnacentral:rRNA from 1 species
GGGGGGGGGGGGGGGGGGGGGGGGGGGGGGGGGGGCGGGGGGGGGGGGCCGGCGUGUGGGGGGGGCGCGGGGGGCGGACGGGGGGGUGGCACGUGGGUCACCUGCCCUGGCCUGUGGGGUAGCUUCGGGCCACUGGGGCUCGUACCGGGUCGGAGCUCCUGCGGCAUGGUGGGGGUUUGAAAGUUUCGGCGGUUGGGGCUGGACUCGCGGCUUAUCAGCUUGUUGGUGGGGUAGUGGCUUACCAAGGCCUUGACGGGGAGCCGGCCUGAGAGGGUGACCGGCCACAUUGGGACUGAGAUACGGCCCAGACUCCUACGGGAGGCAGCAGUGGGGAAUAGUGCACAAUGGGCGGAAGCCUGAUGCAGCAACGCCGCGUGCGGGAUGACGGCCUUCGGGUUGUAAACCGCUUUCGCCUGUGACGAAGCGUGAGUGACGGUAAUGGGUAAAGAAGCACCGGCUAACUACGUG